GGGAAAAGGGAUAAGUUUCCCCACCUUUUAAUCUAUCCAUCUGCCUAUCUAUUAUCUAUCAGUCAUUUUGCCUCCUGGACAGUUGGCUGACCAAGUGUCUGAUAAACCAGCUUCAGAUACACGCUACAAAAGGCUACCGAGCUGGCCUGAUGAUGAUCCUGCUGAGAUAUAUUUAUAGCAGAUGAUUUGUGGAUGAUAACUACGCCAAGCAAGACACGGUCUCCAUAACCCCAGGCUCGUCUGACUUCCUCAGGGGAUUAUAAUCAAGAAUCAGGAAAAGAGCCCUAUAUGGACAGUCUGGUCUCUGGACACUAACAACAGCACAAUCCAAAGGCAAAGCAAGGAGGAACCACUUUGUUUCAUGUCUGCAAGAUGCUCCAUAUAGAAAGCAUUGCUGACAUGUUGACCCAACAGCAAAAAGAGAGCAGCAGUUCACACACCCUCAGCUCUCUGUCCUUUCCUUUCUAUUGAUGUUGGUCCACUUUUAUGAUUUAAUACAUAUUAAAUUCAACAUUUCAAAUUAUAA